rnacentral:rRNA from 1 species
GGGCCCGCACAAGCGGCGGAGCAUGCGGAUUAAUUCGAUGCAACGCGAAGAACCUUACCAAGGCUUGACAUAUACCGGAAACAUCUAGAGAUAGGUGCCCCGCAAGGUCGGUAUACAGGUGGUGCAUGGUUGUCGUCAGCUCGUGUCGUGAGAUGUUGGGUUAAGUCCCGCAACGAGCGCAACCCUCGUUCUAUGUUGCCAGCGCGUAAUGGCGGGGACUCAUAGGAGACUGCCGGGGUCAACUCGGAGGAAGGUGGGGAUGACGUCAAAUCAUCAUGCCCCUUAUGUCUUGGGCUUCACGCAUGCUACAAUGGCCGGUACAAAGGGCUGCGAAACCGCGAGGUAGAGCGAAUCCCAAAAAACCGGUCUCAGUUCGGAUUGGGGUCUGCAACUCGACCCCAUGAAGUCGGAGUCGCUAGUAAUCGCAGAUCAGCAACGCUGCGGUGAAUACGUUCCCGGGCCUU